rfam:Anopheles stephensi strain SDA-500 unplaced genomic scaffold supercont1.35, whole genome shotgun sequence.
GGUCCGGUGGCCGAGGCGAUAACGGCGCCGGUCUUCCCACGGCAGGAUAGGGGUUCAAAUCCCAUCCAGACCG